rnacentral:rRNA from 1 species
UACGUAGGGCGCAAGCGUUAUCCGGAAUUAUUGGGCGUAAAGAGCUCGUAGGCGGUUUGUCGCGUCUGCCGUGAAAGUCCGGGGCUCAACUCCGGAUCUGCGGUGGGUACGGGCAGACUAGAGUGAUGUAGGGGAGACUGGAAUUCCUGGUGUAGCGGUGAAAUGCGCAGAUAUCAGGAGGAACACCGAUGGCGAAGGCAGGUCUCCGGGCAUUAACUGACGCUGAGGAGCGAAAGCAUGGGGAGCGAACAGG